rnacentral:rRNA from 1 species
CAGGAUUAGAUACCCUGGUAGUCCACGCCGUAAACGAUGACUACUAGGAGUAUGAGGUAUCGACUCCUUCUGUGCCGCAGUUAACACGAUAAGUAUUCCGCCUGGGGAGUACGGUCGCAAGAUUAAAACUCAAAUGAAUUGACGGGGGCCCGCACAAGCAGCGGAGCAUGUGGUUUAAUUCGAAGCAACGCGAAGAACCUUACCCGGACUUGACAUCUCCUGAAUUAUUCGUAAUGGAUGAAGUCCCUUCGGGAACCGGAAGACAGGUGGUGCAUGGUUGUCGUCAGCUCGUGUCGUGAGAUGUUGGGUUAAGUCCCGCAACGAGCGCAACCCUUAUCAUUAGUUGCUAACGUUACGUUGAGCACUCUAGUGAGACUGCCCGGGUUAACCGGGAGGAAGGUGGGGAUGACGUCCAAUCAUCAUGCCCCUUACGAACAGGGCUACACAAGUGCUACGAUGGCGCAGACUAAGAGAAGCGACCUCGCGAGAGCAGCGGACCUCAUAAGUGCGACGUAGUCCGGAUUGGAGUCUGCACUCGACUCCUGAAGUCGGAAUCGCUAGUAAUCGUGGAUCAGAAUGCCACGGUGAAUACGUUCCCGGGCCUUGUACCACCGCCCGCACACCAUGGGAGUGGGUGCAAAGAAGAGGUACUUACCUUCGGGAGGCGCUUACACUUUGGAUUCUGAUGGAGUG